rnacentral:misc_RNA from 1 species
GAAAUGCGAUAAGUAAUGUGAAUUGCAGAAUUCAGUGAAUCAUCGAAUCUUUGAACGCACAUUGCGCCCGCCAGCAUUCUGGCGGGCAUGCCUGUUCGAGCGUCAUUUCAACCCUCGAGCCCGACUCUUUUGAGGACGGCUCGGCGUUGGGGGACGGCAGACUCCCCCCGGCAUCUCGCCGGGGACGCCGCCCCCGAAAUCUAGUGGCGGCCCUCCGAGGCGACCUCUGCGUAGUAACUUGUUCUCGCACCGGAAAGCUCAGAGCGGCCACGCCGUAAAACCCCAACUUUUUUAGGCCUCACACUUUUUCUCUCGGCCUUUUACGAGAGGAGGAGGAACCUAGAGUAUUUUGACGAGGCCCUUUCCUUCACCGGAGGAACCUCUGACUUCUUAGAUCUCA